CCCUUAGAUGUUCUGGGCCGCACGCGCGCUACACUGAUUCAUGCACUAAGUAUAUAACCUUGGUAGAAAUGCUUGGGUAAUCUUUGAAACUGAAUCGUGCUGGGGAUUGGAGCUUGUAAUUAUUCUCCAUGAACGAGGAAUUCCUAGUAAACGCGAGUCAUCAGCUCGCAUUGAUUACGUCCCUGCCCUUUGUACACACCGCCCGUCGCACCUACCGAUUGAAUGGUCCGGUGAAAUCUUCGGAUUGAGACUUUGAUUUCUUCACGGAAAACGCUGUUUUAAAAAGUUGAUUAAACCUUACCAUUUAGAGGAAGGUGAAGUCGUAACA
rnacentral:rRNA from 1 species